CUCUCCGUGUGCAUCGUCGUUUUCAGGUCCCAGGUUUUCGCCUCUAUUCGUCGCGAGUCGCGGUAAACUUUAAAUUUUAUGUCCUCAAUCGUGAGUUUCGGAAAAGCCGAGGGAAAAGCGGUGUUAGGAGCAGUGAAUAACCCACGGAAUUGGAAAGUUUUUCUCAAAUCGUUGAUAGGCAAAACAUCUUAUGUCAACAAUGCACACCCAACAAGCGACUUUGCAGAUUUUUUGGAGCUGCUACUCAUACCGACAUGUUGAUUAAAACUAUGAAAUAAAAUAAACAAAU